AACGAACGCUGGCGGCAGGCCUAACACAUGCAAGUCGAACGCCCUCGCAAGAGGGAGUGGCAGACGGGUGAGUAACACGUGGGAACGUGCCCAUCGGUUCGGAAUAACCCAGGGAAACUUGGGCUAAUACCGGAUACGACCUUACGGUGAAAGAUUUAUCGCCGAUGGAUCGGCCCGCGUCUGAUUAGCUAGUUGGUGAGGUAAUGGCUCACCAAGGCGACGAUCAGUAGCUGGUCUGAGAGGAUGAUCAGCCACACUGGGACUGAGACACGGCCCAGACUCCUACGGGAGGCAGCAGUGGGGAAUAUUGGACAAUGGGCGCAAGCCUGAUCCAGCCAUGCCGCGUGAGUGAUGAAGGCCCUAGGGUUGUAAAGCUCUUUCGGCGGGGACGAUAAUGACGGUACCCGCAGAAGAAGCCCCGGCUAACUUCGUGCCAGCAGCCGCGGUAACAC
rnacentral:rRNA from 1 species